UAGGGAAUCUUCGGCAAUGGACGAAAGUCUGACCGAGCAACGCCGCGUGAGUGAAGAAGGUUUUCGGAUCGUAAAACUCUGUUGUUAGAGAAGAACAAGGACGUUAGUAACUGAACGUCCCCUGACGGUAUCUAACCAGAAAGCCACGGCUAACUACGUGCCAGCAGCCGCGGUAAUACGUAGGUGGCAAGCGUUGUCCGGAUUUAUUGGGCGUAAAGCGAGCGCAGGCGGUUUCUUAAGUCUGAUGUGAAAGCCCCCGGCUCACCCGGGGAGGGUCAUUGGAAACUGGGGGACUUGAGUGCAGAAAAGGCGGGUGGAUUUCCAUGUGUAGCGGUGAAUUGCGUGGAUAUCUGGGGGAACACCAGUGGCGAAGGCGGCUCUCUGGUCUGUAACUGACGCUGGGGCUCGAAGGCGUGGGGGGCAAACAGA
rnacentral:rRNA from 1 species